rnacentral:rRNA from 1 species
AUGCGAGCCAUGACAACCAACAAGCUGGCUUCAGGUUUCACCCCUAUCCUGGGCAUUAAUUCGAGAAGCUGCUCCGCCUUUUUAGUAGUACCAAACAGGAGGGAUGCAGUCAGAACAAUGCGGAAGGUAAAUGAAUUGGGCUUCAUUGCUAGCAGUGGACGGUUGCUCUUCUUCCGCGGAUCAACUCUAUUGUUCUGGAAAAGACCAUGCUGCAACGGGUGGGUAUGCUUCAAUCUUCACCAGCUUCCUCACAACAUUUACAGCAAGAUAAGGAGGAGCGCACCGUGCAAGAAUAAGGGACAGGUAAAUCAGGGCCUCCUUCUCCAGCAGUUCAUGCCUCUCUUGAAAUGCGCGAUCAACCACAUUGUAUGA